rnacentral:tRNA from 2 species
GCCGGUGUAACUCAGUUGGUAGAGUAGUGGUUUUGUAAACCAUUUGUCGGGGGUUCGAGUCCUCUCGCCGGCU